CGCUAGCGGCAGGCUUAAUACAUGCAAGUCGAGGGGUAGCAUGAUUGUAGCAAUACAAUUGAUGACGACCGGCAAACGGGUGCGGAGCACGUACACAACCUUCCUACAAGUGGGGAAUAGCCCAGAGAAAUUUGGAUUAAUACCCCCGUAACAUAGCGAUGUGGCAUCACAUUGCUAUUAUAGCUUCGGCGCUUGUUGAUGGGUGUGCGGCUGAUUAGAUAGUUGGCGGGGUAACGGCCCACCAAGUCUACGAUCAGUAGCUGAUGUGAGAGCAUGAUCAGCCACACGGGCACUGAGACACGGGCCCGACUCCUACGGGAGGCAGCAGUAAGGAAUAUUGGACAAUGGACGCAAGUCUGAUCCAGCCAUGCCGCGUGAAGGAUUAAGGUCCUCUGGAUUGUAAACUUCUUUUAUAAGGGACGAAAAAAGGUCUUUCUAGAUCGUCUGACGGUACCUUAUGAAUAAGCACCGGCUAACUCCGUG
rnacentral:rRNA from 1 species